rnacentral:rRNA from 1 species
GUGGGGAAUAUUGGACAAUGGGGGGAACCCUGAUCCAGCCAUGCCGCGUGUGUGAAGAAGGCCUUUUGGUUGUAAAGCACUUUAAGCGAGGAGGUGGCUACCGAGAUUAAUACUCUUGGAUAGUGGACGUUACUCGCAGAAUAAGCACCGGCUAACUCUGUGCCAGCAGCAGCGGUAAUACAGAGGGUGCAAGCGUUAAUCGGAUUUACUGGGCGUAAAGCGCGCGUAGGUGGCCAAUUAAGUCAAAUGUUAAAUCCCCGAGCUUAACUUGGGAAUUGCAUUCGAUACUGGUUGGCUAGAGUAUGGGAGAGGAUGGUAGAAUUCCAGGUGUAGCGGUGAAAUGCGUAGAGAUCUGGAGGAAUACCGAUGGCGAAGGCAGCCAUCUGGCCUAAUACUGACACUGAGGUGCGAAAGCAUGGGGAGCAAACAGGAUUAGAAACCCCGGUAGUCC